UAGGGAAUCUUCGGCAAUGGGGGGAACCCUGACCGAGCAACGCCGCGUGAGUGAAGAAGGUUUUCGGAUCGUAAAGCUCUGUUGUUAAGGAAGAACGAGUGUGAGAAUGGAAAGUUCAUGCUGUGACGGUACUUAACCAGAAAGGGACGGCUAACUACGUGCCAGCAGCCGCGGUAAUACGUAGGUCCCGAGCGUUGUCCGGAUUUAUUGGGCGUAAAGCGAGCGCAGGCGGUUAGAAAAGUCUGAAGUGAAAGGCGGUGGCUCAACCAUUGUAGGCUUUGGAAACUGUUUAACAUGAGUGCAGAAGGGGAGAGUGGAAUUCCAUGUGUAGCGGUGAAAUGCGUAGAUAUAUGGAGGAACACCGGUGGCGAAAGCGGCUCUCUGGUCUGUAACUGACGCUGAGGCUCGAAAGCGUGGGUAGCAAACAGG
rnacentral:rRNA from 1 species